rfam:Streptomyces sp. NRRL S-444 contig115.3, whole genome shotgun sequence.
CGCUCAUCCAGAGGGGCAGAGGGACACGGCCCGUUGAAGCCCCGGCAACCCUCCAGUCGGUUCUCGCGCUUGCUUGCAGCAGCGAGGUCCCCGGCUAGGGAAGGUGCCAAUUCCGUCUCAUGGCGAAGUGCGCCAUGGGGAAGAUGAGGA